GACGAACGCUGGCGGCGUGCUUAACACAUGCAAGUCGAACGGUAAGGCCCCUUCGGGGGUACACGAGUGGCGAACGGGUGAGUAACACGUGAGCAACCUGCCCUUGACUCUGGAAUAACAGUUGGAAACAGCUGCUAAUACUGGAUAUGCACCGCACCUCUCCUGGGGUGUGGUGGAAAGCUCCGGCGGUCAGGGAUGGGCUCGCGGCCUAUCAGCUUGUUGGUGAGGAAAGGCUCACCAAGGCUACGAUCAGUAGCUGGUCUGAGAGGAUGAUCAGCCACACUGGGACUGAGACACGGCCCAGACUCCUACGGGAGGCAGCAGUGGGGAAUCUUGCGCAAUGGGCGAAAGCCUGACGCAGCCAUGCCGCGUGAAUGAUGAAGGUCUUAGGAUUGUAAAAUUCUUUC
rnacentral:rRNA from 1 species